rnacentral:lncRNA from 1 species
UGAUCCCCGACUUUGCGUAUUAGCUCUAAGCUCUUUCGGUCCAUUUUUAUGAUCCCCGACUUUGCGUAUUAGCUCUAAGUUCUUUCGUUCGUUUUUAUGAUCCCCGACUUUGCGAAUUAGCUCUAAGUUAUUUCGGUCGUUUUUAUGAUCUCCGACUUUCAUAUUAGCUCUAAGUUCUUUCUGUUCGUUUUUAUGAUCCCCGACUUUGCGUAUUAGCUCUUAAGUUCUUUCGGUCCCUCUUUAUAAUUCCCGACUUUGCGUAAUAGCUCUUAGUACUUUCGGUCAUUUUUAUGAUCCCUGACUUUGCGUAUUAGCUCUAAGUUCUAUCGGUUCGUUUUUAUGAUCCCCGACUUUGCGUAUAAGCUCUAAGUUCUCUCGGUAUGUUUUUAUGAUCCCCGACUUUGCGUAUUAGCUCUAAGUUCUUUCGGUCCGUUUUUAUGAUCCCAGACUUUACAUAUUAGCUCUAAGUUCUUUCAGUCCGUUUUUAUGAUCUCCGACUUUGCAUAUUAGCUCUAAGUUCCUUCGGUCCGUUUUUAUGAUCCCCAACUUUGCGUAUUAGCUCUAAGUUUUUUCUGUCCGUUUUUAUGAUCCCUGACUUUGCAUAUUAGCUCUAACUUAUUUCGGUCCGUUUUUAUGAUCCCCGACUUUGCGUAUUAGCUCUUAAGUUCUUUCGGUCCGUCUUUAUAAUUCCCGACUUUGCGUAAUAGCUCUUAGUUCUUUCGGUCAUUUUUAUGAGCCCCGACUUUGCGUAUUAGCUCUAAGUUCUAUCGGUCCGUUUUUAUGAUCACCGACUUUGCG